rnacentral:rRNA from 1 species
GACGAACGCUGGCGGCGUGGAUUAGGCAUGCAAGUCGAACGGUAUCAUCCUUUCGGGGGUGAGAGAGUGGCGAACUGGUGAGUAACACGUAGGUUAUCUACCCUCAAGACGGGGACAACCCAGGGAAACUUGGGCUAAUACCGGAUGUGAGCAACUUUUAGUUGUUUGAAAGGUGGCGUAAGCUGUCGCUUGGGGAUGAGCCUGCGUCCUAUUAGUUAGUUGGUGAGGUAACGGCUCACCUAGGCAAUGAUAGGUAGGCGGCCUUAACGGGUGGUCGCCCGCACUGGGAUUGAGAUACGGCCCAGACUCCUACGGGAGGCAGCAGUCGAGAAUAGUCUACAAUGGUCGGAAGACUGAUAGUGCGACGCCGCGUGAACGAUGAAUCCCUUCGGGGUGUUAAAGUUCUUUUAUAUGUGAGCAGUGCUUCUUAUAUUAACAGUAUGGGGAAGAGAUAUUAGCAUAUGAAUAAGCAACGGCUAACUCCGUGCCAGCAGCCGACGGUAA